GGCGUACGAUGACACGCGAGAACUUCGCGGACCCGACUCGGUUGAUCCGUCGUUGAACAUCCCGCGGUGGACUCGCUCGGAAGUGGGAUUUUCAGCGGCGACUUCCACGGAUCCUCGCGAAGAUCGCACGGCGAGCCUCUCGACGUGAUACGACGGGGAGGGAAGGCUUUUUUCCACUUUUCCCUCGCCGCGAUCGCACUUUAGCGCGUCGCGCGCGCUAUGUGCGCGAUGAUAAAGCAACGUUCCGGCAGCCGGCGACGCAGAACGAAGGAUCGUCUUCUCGGGAACUGUGCGCGCCGCAGACCCGUCCGGGGAAACGGAUCGUCGUAUCGAUGAAGGAGCCGGUCGAGUGAUCGACGGCGAACUUCAGUUCGCCGAGUUCGAGCGUUUGGCGGUAAGCGCGUUCGAACGCGCGCGGAAUGCGAAACUCCGAGUUACUCGUUGCUAGCGCGAUAAUUGCAAUUUCACGGUAAUUUCACGCCCGACCGGAGCGGUGCGGUGUUCCCCAAUUUUCCCCAAUUGCGGAGUUCCUUGGAGUUCGGUGUGAUAUCACGGAGUAUUCGAACAUUCCGCGCCCACACACACACACACACACAUACACACAGACAUACACAGACGUGUCACAUGAAAGCGGAAAAACGCAGAUCGACGAUAAGGGAUGACUGAUGAUAACGCGCGGCUGUAAAUCAAUCCGCAAUAGCGCGACGUUUGAAUAAAAUUUACAACGCCCCGAAUUCGAACACCGCGGAGAAAUUGGACUCGCAAGAAAUGUCAUCGUUCGGCUUACUGUGAUUGUUCUAACGAGCAAGUUACCGCCGCGUCGAAGGCAGAAGGGACGAUUACGGCGGUGAGCAGCACGAACUGCAGUUCGCCGGGUUGAAGUGUUCGGCGGCAAACACAGUUCGACGGUGAUGAGACGAGAGUCCCGCAGCCAAGGUUGUAACGUUUAAAAGUCAAUUGUUGUAUUUGCGAUCAGCCGCUCUUAGCAUACGAGAUGUUCCUCAGUGUAAUUUAGAAACCGUUGGAAACCGAUGAAGCAGCCUCUCCAAGUUCACGCUUUUACGAGAGCGGGAUGAUAGAACGAAUGUAACGAGAUAUCAGUUUCGUGUAGCGAUUUGAAAAACUGAACUCUGGAAACUUAACUGAAAGUAAAAAGUAUAUUACAUUAACGUCCCUCCGUGUAAAGAGAGAGAGAGAGAGAGAGAGAGAGUGUGUGGCGAUUUCCACGUUAUAACGGAACUUUAGAUUCCUGAAGUUUCUCGGACUUCCAGCGGGAAAAGAUCCCGUGGGAGAUGGCAGCGUGAAAGAAGAUGCGUCGGAGGAACGUCGAUCGCGGAUGUACGACGCCGUACGGUGGCGGGGAUGCACGUUAUAAGGAGGGAACGACGUCUGGGGCUUUCUCUCGACGCAGGAAGGAACCGGAGGACCUUCACGAGGGUAUCCCGUUGAGGCAGUUCGCGUCAAUUUCACCGUUAUUGUAACGUAUUGUUACGCACAGUUCCUAUCCUUCCCGAUCAGACUUCCCGGUCCAAUAAAUUCGCGGCGACGCGACCCGGGGGAUUCGCACGUCGAUCCGCAAAGCGAAGCCGAUCGAUCCCCGGCGAAGAUGGAGUCUCCAUUCGUGAGCCUCGCGAAUGCGAGCGACGACCUCGUCAACUGCAGCUCGCAAUUCGGUUCUCCCGUGAACGGCACCUGCGAGAGAAUUGAAUUCGGCUUCGACCGCGAGCUGGUAGAAAGUAUCGUGGUGGUGGUGGUGCCAUUGUUCUUCGGCAUGAUCGGCAUCCUCGGCCUGGUCGGGAAUUCCCUGGUCGUCGUCGUCGUAGCGGCGAAUCCCGGAAUGAGGUCGACCACGAACAUCCUCAUCAUCAAUCUCGCUAUGGCGGAUCUGCUUUUCGUCAUAUUUUGUAUCCCCUUCACGGCCACCGACUUCGUGCUGCCGUAUUGGCCGUUCGGCAACGUCUGGUGCAAGAUCGUUCAGUAUCUGAUCAUCGUCACUGCCUACGCGAGCGUUUACACCCUGGUCCUCAUGAGCCUCGACAGGUACUUGGCGGUGGUCCAUCCGAUCGCCUCGAUGUCCUGGAGAACGGAGAACCACGCGAUCCUCGCGAUCUGCGUCACCUGGGCGGUGAUCCUAGCGAUAUCCACUCCGGCGCUGGUGAUACACGGCGAGAUUCGCUACGUGUUCCAGGAGAUGGGCGGCCCGUCGUCGGAAAAUCUGACGGCUUGUCGGAUCCUAGAGCAGUACGACUGGUCCUUCUUCCAGGUGUCCUUCUUCCUGACGAGCUACGUGCUGCCGCUGAAGCUGAUAUGUAUUUUUUACGUGUGCAUGCUGAUCAAAUUGUGGCGUGGCGCGCGCAUUAGCGCCGAAAGCCGACGCGGAAGGAGGCGAGUCACCAGGCUCGUCCUCGUCGUCGUCGGUGUCUUUGCCGUUUGUUGGUGUCCUAUACAGGUGAUACUGGUGACCAAAUCUGUCGAUAUGUUCCCGCUCACGACGGCGACGAUAAUGCUGCAAAUAGCUAGUCACAUCCUCGCCUACACCAACAGCUGUGUCAACCCCUUCCUCUACGCCUUCCUGAGCGACAAUUUUCGUAAAGCCUUCCGGAAAAUCAUCUAUUGUAGGCCGCGACCGGAGCCGAACAACCGGCUGGGACCAGCUACGAAGACUACGAGAGCCGCCAGUAGCGGCGAUAUUCUUUAGUUUACCCCGGCUGCCAUUUUCGUCUGUCCCUUCCGCGCACGGAUAUCGUUAGAAAAAGGGAGAGAAGGAAAACAGACGCAGACGGGAGGAGAUAGAGAGGAGAAGGAUGGAAGAAGAAAUAUAUACAAGGUAAUAAAUUCACCGGGGCCACGCAUGAGGCGCGGACUGGCCGACGUGCGAGCGAAUCCCUGUUUGUAACGGCGAAUGUCUGCGGAUCCGUAGGAUAUUCGAUGUUUGAUGUCGCGUAGGCGAACACACGCGGGCGCGUGUCUCCGAUUCUUCAACUUGCGCCGGACAGAUGUAUACAUUACGAACUUUUAUAUUUUCUCUCGAUUUCCUUCUCGGACGGAGAGUCGAAGGGAAUGCCCGUGCUUGCGAAUUCGGAUUCGUGGGUAUUCCCCGCACGCGGGAGGACGUGCGAGUCGGGUCGAGCGAUCGAAAGCGAGAAGGAGCUUAAUCCGUACCCCCGAUCGUUGUAAUCGUCAUUACUGAUCCUCCUUUACGAGUGUACUUCGCAGGUUCGAUUCGGAUUCGCGGACCACGGCAGCCGAGCCCCUGCCUUGUUUCGCGAACACGACACUUGUACGAUGUCCGUAAAUGUGAAGGGCGCGCGAGCUCAUUUCCCGACUGCUGUUAAUUCAAAUGGUUUUACCGGGGGGAGAGAUCGUCGGAAAAUUGCAUCCCCGAGAAGUUAUAAAGUGUACC